UUGAACCAAGCCUUUUCCGAAAGACCUUCUGCCCACUACCAAUGCUCUGUCGUUAUCUUGGAGUGCUCCGGCUACUAUUUCUGAAGCUGAGGCUGAGCCUUCAUUAAUUAAGACCAUUACAGCUCCUUCUUCGAAUAUACCUCCCUCUUCGGCUCUAUCUUCCCUGUCAUACUUUUUACUUUGUCCUUUUUGGCUUACAAUUACGGCCCCUUCUUUUAAGAAUUCAUCGGCAAUGCCAAUGGCAGCACUCAUGUAACCACCGCCAUUGUUUUGUAA
rnacentral:ncRNA from 1 species